rnacentral:rRNA from 1 species
GACGAACGCUGGCGGCGUGCCUAAUACAUGCAAGUCGAACGCUUCUUUCCUGCCGUUUUCUGGCACUCGAUUGGAAAGCGGGGUGGCGGACGGGUGAUUAACACGUCUGUAACCUAGCCUUCAUAGAGGGAAAACACUUGGAAACAGGUGCUAAUACCGCGUAACAUUGUAUGCCUCGUAGCAUAAGGGUGGAAGGCGCUGGACGCGGGGGUUGAUGGCUGGACGGUCGGUGCGUGAGCUAGCCGGGGAGGUAAGGGCUCACCGAGGGGACGAUGCACAGGCGAACUGAGAGGGUGAUCGGCCACACUGGGACUGAACCACGGACCAGGCUCCUACGGGAGGCACCAGUAGGGAAUGUGCGGCAAUGGUCGAAAGUCUGACCGAGCGACGCCGCGUGAGUGAAGGAGGUGUUCGGAUCGUAAAACUGUGUUGUUAGUGGUGAACAAGGACGUUAGUAAAUGAACGUCGAGUGACGGUAUCUAAUAAGAAAGCAACGGCUAACUACGUG